GUUCCCUUCAAGCACUUCAGG
rnacentral:miRNA from 1 species